UGCCCAGCUGGAAACGGAAUCUGUUGUUCACACCUCCCUUGCAGUUAGGUGUGGCCACGGGACGGAUUCUGGUCUAUGGGGAUUUAAAGGGACGUUUCUCCUCAGGUGCUGUCCGUCUCCCUGCCUCCGUCCCCCUUUCUUCCUGACGGCUCCUUGGUGGCUGGGGCUGCGUCCUGUACCGUGAGGAAGAGACCAGUGGCAUCGUCUUGCAGAGACCUCAGCUGUGAUGGCCUCAAGCCAUGCAGGGUCCCCCGUGGUCUUCUUGCUGCCAUCCCCGUGGCACCUCUGCUGUUUGUUCCUGGCCAGGGUCCACCGAGCACCUGCCAUGCCACGCCCUGGGCCAGGAGGUCCAACCUGGCGGAACACAACGGUCAAGGUCUCUGUCCGCCUGCGGCGUCCAUCCUCGGCUGAUGCACUGGGGAAUCAUUUAUUGUCCCAAACAAUGACAACUGUGGGAAGGAAAGUGUCAGAGUGUGUCAAAGGCUGUGACUCAGGCUGCGGUGCUCUUGGGGGCUUCUCUGGAGGGGACGACUGUCCUGGGCGCAGGUGUGGCUGGAGAGGAGGGAGGUGAGGCCGCCCGGGCCAGUGGCGCUGCAUGCUGAGUGGCGAGGAGGGCGGGCCUCGGUCAGUAGUGGCCAGCGGGUCCCAGCCCCGGCGCUGAGGGAGGGGUCGCUUCAUCCCCCCGGCUCUCACCCACCUGUCUCCCACCCCCGCGAUGUGAUUCAGCUGCUCACCCUACCAGAGUCUCUCCCGUUCCUUUGUUCUGUGUCUGGCCGUGGGAUGGGACGCGGGCGGAGGCUGGGAAGGCACCUGCUGGCUCUUCCUCUCACCCUCACCAUCGCAGAGCAGUGUGGAGAAUGAGACACACUCAAGGGAUGGGACAGAGCUGCCUGGUGGCAGCCGAGAGCCAAGCAGCCCUAGAUGAGUGAGCCCUGAGUGACCCCGGCGAGGACAGAAGAGCCACUUGCUGAGCCCAGCCUGACCCCUGACCUGCGGCUUGAUAACAGCAGAGGGAGCCUCUAACCUCCCUCCUCCACUGGCGUUGGGAAACAGCCAUGGGGCUCACGGGGCCUCCUCGGAAGACCUAUGCCGCCCCUCCAUCACUCAGCUCCCUCAGCGUGGGGAGGAAAUGACUGCUCAGUUCUAUUAUCUCCAAAGCUGAAGGAUGAUCUCAAGUUUUAUCCGGUGAGGAAACUCAUUUGAUUUUAAAUGAUUUUCAGCCUGGAAGUUAGUAGAUUUUAGGAGGCUCUUAAAUAAAUUGCCUAGAAAUAAAGAUGAGCUUCUGGUUUACGGUGAAACUUAAUCUGUCCUGACUGGAACAUUUGCAGAGAUUUGGCUCAGGGAUGCUGGACCUGGCUGGGCAGAGCAGAGAGACGGGGGUGUCCUCAAGUGUUAAAAAUGGGGUUGUGCAAAUGUGCCACAUCUGUGACAUUUAUUGUUCUUUGUGCUUUCGCAUGUAGAAAAAUAAAGCAAAC